GUAGGUGGCAAGCGUUGUCCGGGAAUUAUUGGGGCGUAAAGCGCGCGCAGGCGGUUCUUUAAGUCUGAUGUGAAAGCCCACGGGCUCAACCGUGGGAGGGUCAUUGGAAACUGGAGAACUUGAGUACAGAAGAGGAAAGCGGAAUUCCACGUGUAGCGGUGAAAUGCGUAGAGAUGUGGAGGAACACCAGUGGCGAAGGCGGCUUUCUGGUCUGUAACUGACGCUGAGGCGCGAGAGCGUGGGGAGCAAACAGGAUUAGAUACCCUGGUAGUCCACGCCGUAAACGAUGAGUGCUAAGUGUUAGGGGGUUUCCGCCCCUUAGUGCUGCAGCUAACGCAUUAAGCACUCCGCCUGGGGAGUACGGCCGCAAAGGCUGA
rnacentral:rRNA from 1 species